rnacentral:lncRNA from 1 species
GGUUAUACCUCAAUUUGAAGAAAACAGAUAUCUUAAAUAAAAUUGUUGAUAAAUGUUUACCAGUAAUUUUUAUUAUGAGAUUAGAUUAGUGGUUAGAGGGGAUAACGAAUAAAAUGGUUGAAAAAAGCUAAUUUCCAUGAAAUUAGCAAAUACCAUAUUGCUACGUAGUUGAAAAAAAUCAUAUAGUAUAUGAAAUAUGAAGUGUAAAAUGUUUACCGGGUGAAGAAGAAGACCCCUAGGAAGGGCCUCAUCAAGGAUGUCUCAACGGUUUGUGGCCAAACCUAUGAAUGUUACUAAGAUAUACGUGAGGGUACUAUAUUCUUUCAAAAUAAUAUAUAAAUAGUUCGAUUAAUAUGGCCUAAAUCCUAAUACAAGUGGAAAAAGGUAAAUUAAUCUUGCUUGAUGCCUUGAAUGCAUCCUGCAUUCCGACUGAUUAAGAAGCUUCAACAUUAUUCAUUGCACUUCUUAAUAGCUUAUGCUCUCAUUUAAGUCGAAUAAAUUAGAUAUUGAUGUUUGUUUAUAAAUACUUGGUUAUAAAACUAAAAUUCUCACUUGGGACUUUUAGCAAACUCCAGGUUUGCAAAUUGACAUGAACAUCUUAUCUGCACCUAAGCAUUAGGAAAAACAAAUAACAAAUCAAACAUAAAGACUGUCAAAUUCAAAACUUUAAGACAUAAAUGUGAUAAAAAAAACAACAAAACCUCCAAAAAUAGAGACAGUAAGUGACACUAAAAAACUCUGAAUAUCACAAAACAUUCCACUGACAAUCUAAUUAGAACUACAUAAGAGUUGUUGUAAUUCAUUUUCAAAACACACCAGAAACCUAAAUAAGUUGUUCACUAUAGAUUAAAAACUCAAAAGAAUUGAAUAAUAGUAAUUUCAUAUUACCAAAAAAAAUCCUUAAAAAACCAAAGAGACAAUACAAACCUGUCAUUACAACUAAAUGUAGGUGUUUGAGUCUAUUGUAUGCUUUGUCUUGUUCUCACCACAUCUGUACUUUUUUGCAAACCUGCCUUCAAAUAUGAAAUUUUGUAUCUAAAACCUGUUGCUGAGAAAGAAAGGAAUUUAGGGGCAAAAUAUUUAAUAACAUGAAUAUGAGUAGGGGGAUCAUUAGUUGUUUACCUGCAAACAAUCUUCUUGCGAAGCAGGGACCUACACAAUUCCAAACUCGAAAUAGUUCAAAUUGUUCUCCUAAUCGAUGAAUAUAUGACAAAAACUCACCUUAUUUCUUACACAAACAAAAGUUAGACCCAGGUGUGUGAGAGGAAAGAGUUAGGUUUCUUUUACAGAGAGGGUAUAGAGGCGUUGAAAGCAAAAAUCUAUCGAGAGGGUUUAGAGGUGUUGGAAGCCGAAAGUGUUGAAGAAUCUAGGGUUUCCUCUUCUUCAAUAAAAUUGUAGUCGUGUCGAUGAGUUCAAAUCGCAUAAAAGAAUAACCCGAUAGAAAUCAACUCACCUAACAGAAUGGGAGAAUAGAUGGUGGUAAUUGAUGG